ACUGUAAUUAACAAUUUAUUUCUCCAUAUCAGCGGCGUACCAUGGAACUGCGGGGCCAGUCUCCGUAGAUGACAAGAGAUGGAGUUCGACUGUCCUCGAUGGGUUCCUCAAGGCUGGGCAAGAACUGGGCUACGACGUUGUCGAUCCCAAUGGACCUGAGCAGAUAGGAUUCGCCGUGGCUGAUGUGACACAGCUAAAUGGACAGAGAUCAUCGGUAGCAGAAGCUUACUUGCGUCCUGCUCUUUCCCAGGGCAACCUUCAUGUUAUACCUGAAGCUCAUGUCACGAAGAUACUUUUCGAUGACCAGAAACGAGCAGUUGGGGUCCGUUUUGAUCACCGUGGGAAGGUAGG